GCUCUCCCUCAGACACACUGGAGGGAAAGGUCAAACUAAAGGCGAGGGAGCAGAGAGACCGGAGGGAGCCGCUGCCGCCGCCGCGCGCCAUGACGGACGCGGCGGAGGCUGCUUUCUCAGUGCGGACGCCGCCGAUCCCCAGCUCUCGCCGCGCCCCCUGCCCCCCGCCCCUCGCGCGCCCCUCACCCUGGCGCUGGCGCGUCCCCGCGCCCUCUCCCCCGGCCGCUCCAGGCGCGCCUCGGGCUCGGGGCGCGGGGCGCUGGGAGCGGGAGGGUGGGGGCCGCGGCGGGCCGGCGGCCUCCUCGCCCGACCCCCGACCCCGGGCCAGGUGUCUUCAGAAUUCGGCAAAGUAGAUGGGACUGCAGACGUUACCAUUCCCUGUGACUCUUGCUACGAUCUUACAGACUUCAUUGUGCUGGGCUUAGAUGUCUUCAGAGUCACCAGCUUUAUUCAUUGGAUCAAUGUGCAUUAUUUGCUGUGUGUGCUCAGGUAAUAUUUUUGUUUCUUUUUUUUAGUUUGAAUAUCAGUUUGGGCUUAGUUACUUUUUAAAAUAAGGCUGUUUCAGAUAGUCUCUGCCACACUUUGCCUAGCCUGGUUAAUUGUGGGUGGACCCAUGCUACAUGUUUUGGCAUUGCCUUUUUCUUAUCUGUACCAUAUUACAAACUUCCUAGUAAUUUGACAUUCACUGCUGUCUUUGCUUUAGCUUUCCAACAGGUUUGGUGAAACAGUCCAUUGCUGUUCAAUAUCAGCUUGCAUCAGAAUUACUUGGAGGGCUUAUUGAUUAAAACACAGAUUGCUGGGCCCUGCAAAAAAAGUUUCUGAUUCAGUAGGUCUGGGGUGGAACAUAAGAAUGUGCUUUUCCCCCCACAGUUCCCAAGUACUGCUGAUGCUGCUCCUCUAGGCCCAUGCUUUCAGAAUCACAGAGCUCAUCUUACAUUCUUUUCCUGCUAGAUAUUAUGCCCAAUUAAUACAUGAAGUAAAACAGAAAAAUCCUUAACUUAAAAACAUGUAUUAAUCCAGAAGUUUGAUUAUAAAAAGGUUUGUUGAAAAUGUGAGACCAUUUUUUCUCCCAGAGAAAAAGUAUAUUAAUUGUCUAGCUGGGAGGGGCCUAUUUGAAUGUGUUUUCAGAGAAAAGCAGAAGAAAAAAAUACGGUUGUAAUAGAAGUAGUUAAAACAGAAAAGCAGUAUGGUUGUAGAGUGGGGUGGCGGGGAGGUAUAUGUGUAUUUAAUCUUGAGAACCAAUGCUUUUGGAAAACAGCCCGAAGGGACAAGAGACUAGGUAGAGACUGGCGAGGUUCCUGAAAGUCCUGGGUUACCUGUGAAAUGCCAAAGAUUUUUAAAGUUUGCUGGCAGUGGUUAUUAUAUGUAGUUUUACUUCCAAAUUUGAAGAUUUCCUCUUCUUUGAUGCAAGUGUGUUGGUAGGACCACUGAUAAUAGUUAGUGGAGAUAUUUGUGGGAAUAUAUUUUUAAUCAGAAAGAAUGCAAAAAGAGGGGGAGACAUUUCUUUGAGACACCUUAAUGACACUGGGAACAGUAGAAGGUGGAAAGAGAUCAGAGUGUGGGAAAGAUGUGCCUGAGAUGAAAUUAUCUGAAUUCUGAAUGUGGGGGAGAAGAUGAGGAGAGGGUUGAGGGGGAGGAGAGAUGACUAAGCUCCUCACAGUGUUUCAUUAACUGUCUUUUACCUAAAGGAGGAAUCUUCUUAAUGAAGAUUGGUUGAUGCAUCAUACUGGUCAUCAAGUAAGUUCUUAUAAAUGCAAGUUUGAUUGUUUUGAAGGGAAGGAUAUAGGAAGGCUGGAUAAUCAGCUACAUUUAGAUAUGGAACACUACAGGAUGUCGGCAUUUAUUGUUGUA
rnacentral:lncRNA from 1 species